UGUUAAAAACUUCAUCCAUUUGUAUGGUUAAGAAUUAGUAUCAGAAAACCUGACAAUGACACAUGUCGUGCCAUGUAUACUUCAUGUUGACAUAUAAAAAUUAGUUUUUAAUAAUAGAAAUAGAUGAUUCUUUUUUAAAUA
rnacentral:pre_miRNA from 1 species